rnacentral:rRNA from 1 species
AUUGAACGCUGGCGGCAGGCCUAACACAUGCAAGUCGAACGAGUGGCGGACGGGUGAGUAAUGUCUGGGAAACUGCCUGAUGGAGGGGGAUAACUACUGGAAACGGUAGCUAAUACCGCAUACCAUCAGAUGUGCCCAGAUGGGAUUAGCUAGUAGGUGGGGUAACGGCUCACCUAGGCGACGAUCCCUAGCUGGUCUGAGAGGAUGACCAGCCACACUGGAACCGAGACACGGUCCAGAAUCCUACGGGAGGGAGGAGGUGGGAAUAUUGCACAAUGGGGGCAAGCCUGAUGGAGCCAGGCCGCGUGUAUGAAGAAGGCCUUCGGGUUGUAAAGUACUUUCAGCGGGGAAGCGUUACCCGCAGAAGAAGCACCGGCUAACUCCGUGCCAGCAGCCGCGGUAAUAC